GGGACACGUGGUAUCCUGUCUGAAUAUGGGGGGACCAUCCUCCAAGGCUAAAUACUCCUGACUGACCGAUAGUGAACCAGUACCGUGAGGGAAAGGCGAAAAGAACCCCGGCGAGGGGAGUGAAAAAGAACCUGAAACCGUGUACGUACAAGCAGUGGGAGCCUCUUAAUGGGGUGACUGCGUACCUUUUGUAUAAUGGGUCAGCGACUUAUAUUCUGUAGCAAGGUUAACCGAAUAGGGGAGCCGAAGGGAAACCGAGUCUUAACUGGGCGUUAAGUUGCAGGGUAUAGACCCGAAACCCGGUGAUCUAGCCAUGGGCAGGUUGAAGGUUGGGUAACACUAACUGGAGGACCGAACCGACUAAUGUUGAAAAAUUAGCGGAUGACUUGUGGCUGGGGGUGAAAGGCCAAUCAAACCGGGAGAUAGCUGGUUCUCCCCGAAAGCUAUUUAGGUAGCGCCUCGUGAAUUCAUCUCCGGGGGUAGAGCACUGUUUCGGCAAGGGGGUCAUCCCGACUUACCAACCCGAUGCAAACUGCGAAUACCGGAGAAUGUUAUCACGGGAGACACACGGCGGGUGCUAACGUCCGUCGUGAAGAGGGAAACAACCCAGACCGCCAGCUAAGGUCCCAAAGUCAUGGUUAAGUGGGAAACGAUGUGGGAAGGCCCAGACAGCCAGGAUGUUGGCUUAGAAGCAGCCAUCAUUUAAAGAAAGCGUAAUAGCUCACUGGUCGAGUCGGCCUGCGCGGAAGAUGUAACGGGGCUAAACCAUGCACCGAAGCUGCGGCAGCGACACUAUGUGUUGUUGGGUAGGGGAGCGUUCUGUAAGCCUGUGAAGGUGGCCUGUGAGGGUUGCUGGAGGUAUCAGAAGUGCGAAUGCUGACAUAAGUAACGAUAAAGCGGGUGAAAAGCCCGCUCGCCGGAAGACCAAGGGUUCCUGUCCAACGUUAAUCGGGGCAGGGUGAGUCGACCCCUAAGGCGAGGCCGAAAGGCGUAGUCGAUGGGAAACAGGUUAAUAUUCCUGUACUUGGUGUUACUGCGAAGGGGGGACGGAGAAGGCUAUGUUGGCCGGGCGACGGUUGUCCCGGUUUAAGCGUGUAGGCUGGUUUUCCAGGCAAAUCCGGAAAACCAAGGCUGAGGCGUGAUGACGAGGCACUACGGUGCUGAAGCAACAAAUGCCCUGCUUCCAGGAAAAGCCUCUAAGCAUCAGGUAACAUCAAAUCGUACCCCAAACCGACACAGGUGGUCAGGUAGAGAAUACCAAGGCGCUUGAGAGAACUCGGGUGAAGGAACUAGGCAAAAUGGUGCCGUAACUUCGGGAGAAGGCACGCUGAUAUGUAGGUGAAGCGACUUGCUCGUGGAGCUGAAAUCAGUCGAAGAUACCAGCUGGCUGCAACUGUUUAUUAAAAACACAGCACUGUGCAAACACGAAAGUGGACGUAUACGGUGUGACGCCUGCCCGGUGCCGGAAGGUUAAUUGAUGGGGUUAGCGGCAACGCGAAGCUCUUGAUCGAAGCCCCGGUAAACGGCGGCCGUAACUAUAACGGUCCUAAGGUAGCGAAAUUCCUUGUCGGGUAAGUUCCGACCUGCACGAAUGGCGUAAUGAUGGCCAGGCUGUCUCCACCCGAGACUCAGUGAAAUUGAACUCGCUGUGAAGAUGCAGUGUACCCGCGGCAAGACGGAAAGACCCCGUGAACCUUUACUAUAGCUUGACACUGAACAUUGAGCCUUGAUGUGUAGGAUAGGUGGGAGGCUUUGAAGUGUGGACGCCAGUCUGCAUGGAGCCGACCUUGAAAUACCACCCUUUAAUGUUUGAUGUUCUAACGUGGGCCCCUUACCGGGGUUGCGGACAGUGUCUGGUGGGUAGUUUGACUGGGGCGGUCUCCUCCUAAAGAGUAACGGAGGAGCACGAAGGUUGGCUAAUCCUGGUCGGACAUCAGGAGGUUAGUGCAAUGGCAUAAGCCAGCUUGACUGCGAGCGUGACGGCGCGAGCAGGUGCGAAAGCAGGUCAUAGUGAUCCGGUGGUUCUGAAUGGAAGGGCCAUCGCUCAACGGAUAAAAGGUACUCCGGGGAUAACAGGCUGAUACCGCCCAAGAGUUCAUAUCGACGGCGGUGUUUGGCACCUCGAUGUCGGCUCAUCACAUCCUGGGGCUGAAGUAGGUCCCAAGGGUAUGGCUGUUCGCCAUUUAAAGUGGUACGCGAGCUGGGUUUAGAACGUCGUGAGACAGUUCGGUCCCUAUCUGCCGUGGGCGCUGGAGAACUGAGGGGGGCUGCUCCUAGUACGAGAGGACCGGAGUGGACGCAUCACUGGUGUUCGGGUUGUCAUGCCAAUGGCACUGCCCGGUAGCUAAAUGCGGAAGAGAUAAGUGCUGAAAGCAUCUAAGCACGAAACUUGCCCCGAGAUGAGUUCUCCCUGACUCCUUGAGGGUCCUGAAGGAACGUUGAAGACGACGACGUUGAUAGGCCGGGUGUGUAAGCGCAGCGAUGCGUUGAGCUAACCGGUACUAAUGAACCGUGAGGCUUAACCUUACAACGCCGAAG
rnacentral:rRNA from 1 species